rnacentral:rRNA from 1 species
ACGAACGCUGGCGGCGUGCUUAACACAUGCAAGUCGAACGGAAAGGCCUCUUUCGGGGGGUACUCGAGUGGCGAACGGGUUAGUAACACGUGAGUAACCUGCCCUUGACUUUGGGAUAACUUCAGGAAACUGGGGCUAAUACCGGAUAGGAGCUCCUGCUGCAUGGUGGGGGUUGGAAAGUUUCGGCGGUUGGGGAUGGACUCGCGGCUUAUCAGCUUGUUGGUGGGGUAGUGGCUUACCAAGGCUUUGACGGGUAGCCGGCCUGAGAGGGUGACCGGCCACAUUGGGACUGAGAUACGGCCCAGACUCCUACGGGAGGCAGCAGUGGGGAAUAUUGCACAAUGGGUGGAAGCCUGAUGCAGCAACGCCGUGUGCGGGAUGACGGCCUUCGGGUUGUAAACCGCUUUCGCUCAUGACGAAGCUUUGUGUGACGGUAGUGGGUAAAGAAGCACCGGCUAACUACGUG